CUUGGACUGAGUACGGGGCGCGGCACUGGACUGGAGGGGAUGGCACCACGCUUUCCAGAGAAGCCAGAAGAAUUAUUCGGCUGUGCACUGGACGAGGGGCUUCAAGUUUCCAAACCUGAUAUAAUAUUCCAUUUGGAACAAAGGUGAGAUUUAUGGAUCCUGGAGAGAGAUAUCCCAAGAGAUACUUUUCCAGGUGCGGAGUCAAAAAAAAAAAAAGGCCCUCUUCAAAAAUUAUCAAUGGAUUGGAAACCUUUGAUAUGAUAAAAUGGGACAUCCAAGAUACAGUUGUCUCCUACCUUGAAUCAUGUCAGCAAAGUCAUCACCUAGCUCCUGCAAUUCUCAAAGUGUGAUCCUUCAACCUCUGGGAUUUUCCAAGACCCUUUCAGGAGAUCCUCAACAUCAAAACUAUUUUUAUAAUAAUAAUAAGUUAUUUGCCUAUUAAAAUAUCCUUCCCUUUUUCAACUACAUGUCUGUGUCAGAAUACAUUUUCUUCAUAUUCUUCAACCAAAACAUAUCACAAACAGAUUGAAUUCAGAUAUGAGAAUCCAUCUGUUUUCUAUUCAGCCAGACAUUAAAGAGAUUGGGAAAAAUAUGUAAAACAAUGCCACUCAUGACUAUAUGUAUUUUUUGUUAUGGAAAAAAUAUAUUUUUAAAGUCUAUGUUAACAUGCU
rnacentral:lncRNA from 1 species